rnacentral:rRNA from 1 species
AACGAACGCUGGCGGCAUGCCUAACACAUGCAAGUCGAACGAAGGCACCGGCCUUAGUGGCGUAUGGGUGUGGAACGCGUGGGAAUCUUCCCAUAGGUUCGGAAUAACUGUUAGAAUUGACUGCUAAUACGGGAUGAUGACGUAAGCCCAAAGAUUUAUCGACUGAGGAGGAGCCAGAGUAGGAUUCGCUCGUUGGUUUGGUAAUGGCGCACCAAGGCGCGGAUCCUUAGCUGGUUUGUGAGGAUGAUCAGCCACACUGGGACUGAGACACGGCCCAGACUCCUACGGGAGGCAGCAGUGGGGAAUAUUGGACAAUGGGCGCAAGCCUGAUCCAGCAAUGCCGCGUGAGUGAUGAAGGCCUUAGGGUUGUAAAGCUCUUUUACCCGUGAUGAUAAUGACAGUAGCGGGAGAAUAAGCCCCGGCUAACUCCGUG